GUGGAGGUGGCCCAGCCCGGUAAGGCGCCAGCCUGCUAAGCUAGUGCGCUAUGCGCUCGCGUGUUCAAAUCACGUCCUCCACGCCA
rnacentral:tRNA from 4 species